GCCCUCUCUGUGUGCGUGUCAGCGGCACCUGGCAUCGUGGGCCCCCACUUCCCUGGGAAGGGCGUCCUCCCCUCGAGCUCGGGCCUCGCCGACCUCCAGUCCCCCUUCCUCCUUCACCCUUGGGUCCCCGGCUCUGCACGUGGGAUGCCCAGGGCUCAGGCUUGGGCCAGCCCUAAUGGCCCCAGCUCAUGAGUCCUUCCCUGAACCCCCAUUUCAAGUUGCACCUUCACCCUUCAAGCCCACACGUCCACCUCCCCGGCUUCAUCUGUCCACACAGUGUCCUCCAGGUGCCACACCACACGUUUCAUUCUGUCUAACGUGCGUCUCGUCACCAGGACGUCAGCCCCAGGGGCAGGAACACCCGUAGGUCUUGCUCAGUGCCGGCCCUGGCCUGGACGAGGCCUGGCACGCAGGGUCCACGCAGAGGGCUGUUGCCGGAGGGACGAGUCUAACACUCUGGGCUAACCACGUCCUCUCCUAGCAGUGAGGACCCCCAGCCGGUGCCAUGCAAACUCGGCGACAGCUUGCCCUGGUCAGACUGCCCGGUGUCCCACUGCGUGCCCAGGAACUGCUCCAUUCCCUACAAGGGCUUCGUCAUCGCCGACAGAGACUACUACUCGUUCCAGCCCGACAGGCCCCUGGUCAGCCAGCGCACCUUCACGCUGGCCCAGCACGUCCAGCCCCCCGCACCCCAAGACCUGCGCAUCAACGGCUCCGGGGACGCUCUCGAGCUGAGCUGGAGCGUGGCCCUCGGGGGUCCCCGGGGAAGCUGGCUGUCCCAGAACGACCUGGAGUUUGAGGUGGUCUACAGGCGGCUGCAGGACUCCUUGGAGGUAGGCAACCGAGGCAGGCCUGCCCCGCGCCCAGGUCCUGGACCACGGGCCUCCUCCAGCACCCCCUCUCUCCCCAGA
rnacentral:lncRNA from 1 species